GGCCUGAUGGUCUAGGGGUAUGAUUUUCGCUUAGGGUGCGAGAGGUCCAGGGUUCAAAUCCCGGUCAGACCC
rnacentral:tRNA from 1 species